ensembl:lncRNA
CAAGCACAGCCUUAGCUUGUUUGCAUUAGCAGCCAUCAGCUGUGAGGUGAUGGCUUAAGGAAAUGGAUAGGUACUGAGAUUAGGGUUAUAAAGAAGCAUAUGGUGCUUUGCAGCUAUGGAUUAUCUGUUGUUGUGUUGGGGCACUGAGACCUUCCAGAAGCGUCUGUGAUUCUUCAUAGCAUGCACUCAAAGGCAACUGUCCAGGAAAGGUUCCACAGUCUGCAGCAGCCCAGGGGGAGAAAGUCUGGUGGUGAUGGAAUGGACCACAAGAAAACACAACCACCACAGUGCUCAGCACCAGGCUGGCACCUAUGCUUGGUGCCAGACCUCUGGCCAGCACAGGGCUUUGGCUUUAUUGGCUUUUCCAGCCCAUGCAUGGCUCAUCUCGCUAUUACUGAUCUGCCUGCAGGAACAAGGACAUGUCACCAGCACAGCAGCUCUGACUCAGGUCCGUGGGGAGCGAAGUGAUGCUCAUGCUCCCCGUAGCAGCUCCUCCAGCCUGCUCGCUCCAAUAAUAGCCUCCGUGUGUGAAAUUUCACCUGACCUGAACUUUCCUGAGUUUAUCCAGCCUUCACCCUGACAGUUCAGAGCAGAACUGUUUUUGUGCCUCGCAACCCAGACACCAAAUUGGAGCUGAAGUGACGUUUAUUGUUUCAACAGUGUUAUUAUAUGAAGAUUGAGCUCAUUACAAACAUGACCUGUUUUUGAGCCAGGACACAUAUUAAUUUGGAUAAAAUACCAGCUGUGUCCUCUCUCCAUAUGGCCUUAUCGGAAAACAAACUGGGUUAAGUUUCAUUCCAAAGAAUGAAAAUAUAAUUGAAUACUUGCCUCGUUUGAGGAAACUCAAAUAAUCAUUAUCGUCACGUCUCCGCUAAUCGCAGCAGAGAGGGGGCAGAGGUGUUUAUUUCUGUGUGCAUCUAAAAAUAAACCAAGGCACAAUUCCUGUGGGGGGAAACAGAGGGCAGCACGGGGCAGACUUUCCUCCAGCUCUGGGAGAAGAAGGUCGUCCCCCAACCUAUGGACCAGAGGUGCAUAUUGAGGUUUUGCUGUGUUUUUGUGGUGAUUUUUGCAUUUGUUUUGUGGUAUUCUUUUUUUUUUCCCCCAGAGGAGACAGGGGUUAUCUCUGAAAAGGCAUAGACGUGGAUAUGUAGAGGUCUUUUCUCCGCCCCAUCAGCACUCUCAGUGUUGUAAUUAAGGGCUGGGGGCAAGUGCUGCAUCCCACCACUGCAUGUUGGCCUCAGACAUCCCCAUCAACAACCCAGACAGACAAACUUAGGAAUAGG